GACGAACGCUGGCGGCGUGCUUAACACAUGCAAGUCGAACGGAAAGGCCCUGCUUUUGUGGGGUGCUCGAGUGGCGAACGGGUGAGUAACACGUGAGUAACCUGCCCUUGACUUUGGGAUAACUUCAGGAAACUGGGGCUAAUACCGGAUAGGAGCUCCUGCUGCAUGGUGGGGGUUGGAAAGUUUCGGCGGUUGGGGAUGGACUCGCGGCUUAUCAGCUUGUUGGUGGGGUAGUGGCUUACCAAGGCUUUGACGGGUAGCCGGCCUGAGAGGGUGACCGGACACAUUGGGACUGAGAUACGGCCCAGACGCCUACGGGAGGCAGCAGUGGGGAAUAUUGCACAACGGGCGGGAGCCUGAUGCAGCAACGCAGCGUGCGGGAUGACGGCCUUCGGGUUGUAAACCGCUUUCGCCUGUGACGAAGCGUGAGUGACGGUAAUGGGUAAAGAAGCACCGGCUAACUACGUG
rnacentral:rRNA from 1 species